GGCGCUAUAGCCAAGUGGUUACGGCGACAGAUUAGAACCACCUACUGAUCAUCAGUCGCGAAGUCAUCUGUUACUCUUUGAGUGCGCAGGUUCGAAUCCUGCUGGCGUCG
rfam:Paxillus rubicundulus Ve08.2h10 scaffold_2_c1, whole genome shotgun sequence.